ensembl:rRNA 5S_rRNA 5S ribosomal RNA
AUCUACAGCCAUACAAUCUGGAACAUGCCCGAUCUCCUCUGAUCUGGGAAGCUAAGCAGAGUAGGGCCUGGUUAGUACUUGGAUGGGAGACCAAGUUUAAAUCUUAGCACUAUGGGAG